rfam:Candidatus Nomurabacteria bacterium RIFCSPHIGHO2_01_FTLL_39_9 rifcsphigho2_01_scaffold_8009, whole genome shotgun sequence.
UUUACUGAGAGUUUGAUCCUAGCUCAGGAUGAACGCUGGCGGUGUGGAUAAGGCAUGCAAGUCAUACGGAACAUUCUUCAGAUUACAUCAAAAGGAAUGUUUAGUGGCAAACGAGGCAGUAACACGUAGGUACUUCCCCCAAAGUCAGAAACAACUAGUCGAAAGAUUAGCUAAUAUCUGAUAUGUCUUUGGAUGAAAGAAGCAAUUCGCUUUGGGAAAGGCCUGCGGGCUAUCAGCUAGUUGGUGGGGUAACGGCCUACCAAGGCUAUGACGGCUAGGAGGCGUGAGAGCGCGACCUCCGUCGAUGGGACUGAGACACGGCCCAUACACCUACGGGUGGCAGCAGCCGAGAAUAUUCGACAAUGGGCGAAAGCCUGAUCGAGCGACACCGCGUGACCGAUGAAGUCCUUCGGGGCGUAAAGGUCUUUUAUGAGGGAAGAAGGGGUAAAACCUUGACGGUACCUCAUGAAUAAGGGGCUCCUAACUCUGUGCCAGCAGGAGCGGUAAGACAGAGGCCCCAAGCGUUAUCCGGAAUUACUGGGCGUAAAGGGUGAGUAGGCGGUUUUAUUAGUCUUCGGUUAAAGACCCGAGCUCAACUCGGGAAGUGCCGGGGAAACGGUAAGACUUGAGGGCGCAAGAGGUGCACGGAACUCAUGGUGUAGGGGUGAAAUCCGUUGAUAUCAUGGGGAACACCGAAAGCGAAGGCAGUGCACUGGUGCGUACCUGACGUUCAAUCACGAAAGCGUGGGCAUAAAAAAGGAUUAGAUACCCUUGUAUUCCACGCCCUAAACGAUCUUGACUGGCUUUUCGGAGUAUCGACCCUCUGAGAGGCGAAGCUAACGCGUUAAGUCAAGCGCCUGGGAAGUACGAUCGCAAGAUUAAAACUCAAAGGAAUAGACGGGGACUAGCACAAGCAGUGGAACAUGUGGUUUAAUUCGAUGGUAAACGAAAAACCUUACCAGGGCUAGAAAUCCAGUCGAAGAGUAGAAGAAACUUUACUCGUCGCAAGACGGCUGGACAGGUGCUGCAUGGCCGUCGUCAGCUCGUGGUUUGAAUUGUUCCCUUAAGUGGGGUAACGAGCGCAACCCUCGUUGUGUGUUAUACGUGUCACACAAGACUGCCCGGCCCAAAGUACAUAAAUUUAUUUUUUGUGUUUUUUGGGCUGGGAGGAAGGAGAGGAUGACGCCAGGUCAGCAUGGCCCUUUGAUGUCCUGGGCCACACACAUGUUACAAUGGCUACUACAACGGGACGCAAUGGUGCGAGCCGGAGCAAAUCCUGAAAGGUAGCCUCAGUUCGGAUUGGAGUCUGCAACUCGACUCCAUGAAGCCGGAAUUGCUAGUAAUCGCGGGUCAUCAUACCGCGGUGAAUACGUUCUCUAGUCUUGUACUCACAAUAAAAGCGCGCAGCCGCUUAGUUUUCUAAAUGGUUAAAAUCCAUU